UACGUAGGGUGCGAGCGUUAAUCGGAAUUACUGGGCGUAAAGCGUGCGCAGGCGGCUUUGUAAGACAGGCGUGAAAUCCCCGGGCUCAACCUGGGAAUGGCAUUGGAAACUGUCCAGCUGGAGUGUGGCAGAGGGGGGUGGAAUUCCGCGUGUAGCAGUGAAAUGCGUAGAGAUGCGGAGGAACACCGAUGGCGAAGGCAGCCCCCUGGGCCAACACUGACGCUCAGGCACGAAAGCGUGGGGAGCAAACAGG
rnacentral:rRNA from 1 species